ensembl:lncRNA
CCAGGUUGGAUGGGGCCCUGGGCACAUGCACAGUAAGCAGAUUGGCUUACAUAUUCAUUGUUUUCCAAAAAGUCCUUAAUAGAUGCUAAUGUCCCUCUGGGCAUACGCGGUAGGACCUCUGGUGGUCUUUGACCACUUACUUCCUCCUCAUUUUUCCAACAUCAUCUUCAUCACAAUGACAUUCAGCCAACCUUUAGCUGUUUUUUCUCACUUUGACAAGUUUCCAUGGCUUGUCACGCCAUAAUGAGCAACUUUCUAUCUUGGUGCACUAUAACCCUAAACAACGCAUGUGAGAUCCAAGGGAAAAGUCCUUGUGCCUGGUGGGUGCAAAGAUAGAAGUGGUUUAUUGUGACUUCAGUGCUUCCGUGAAGCUUUGCAUCACACAAAGCUAAACUGGAAAGUUUUAGAACCAGCACUCAUUGAUUCCUUUUGCUAAACUAACAUACUGGUCCUUAAACUAAUACGCUGAUCCCUGUUGCUAAACCAGCCUAUAUCAAACUCACAGGUUAAAUCAGCCUUAGUGAAAGAUCCCAGAUAAAAUUACACUUAAUUCCUUAAUCUUUAAUCUGAAUAACAUCUCGAUUUCUUAGGCAUAAACAAGGAAGGCACUCAAAUAGGAUAUGGCUAUUGAGUAGGCACAGGCAGAGAGAAAUCUCCAGAGUUAUUUUUGUGCUAGAGCUUGCCACAGAUUGUCUAGCUGGAAUCUGUUCUCAGCUGCUCCAAGAUCUGCAGUUUUUAUACUUACUGACAUUCUGACAUCCUUUUAUGCACUAAGAUUAUUCAUCCUCUGAAUUUUUUGUAGUAUUUUUUCCUUCACUGACUCCUAAAAAUAAGUAUGAUAUUUAAGAAAGAAUCUUAAUAUUUGAGUACCACCUAUCGAACUAAUAAUGACUCUGCAAUAUUUUGCAUCUUGUGGACAAAAUCCUUGUGUCUGGGUCUGACUUUCACCCCACCAUUCUUUGCAGAUGUUGCUGGAUUCAUACCUGCACAGAUACCAAAGUGCCCAGAAGAAACAGCUUCAUUCAGAUCAUUCACUUAAAACACUUUCUGAAUCCCAUUUGCGUGGGAAUGUCAAACUAAUUCGACUGUCCGGCAUUAAUCCACGUGGCUGUGAGGCUUGGGAUGUCCCACACAUCUGGGCUACAGGGCCUCAUGCACCAGGUGAGGACUGGGAGAUCCAGAGAGUGAGAGAUGCAGAGAUCCUCUCUGCAUUGCCUGCUGUGCAGCAGCAGCUGUGAAACAUGCUCUUCCUCUUAGUCGUGUCUGCUGUGCUUUUAGCAGACUUGGAUUUUCUAGCAGCACGUAAGCAGGCUAACUGGGCAUCAAAGCUGAAGAACAAUUGAAAGCUGUUAAGUGCAAUUUAAAAAAUAGAAAAUAUACCAAACAUGUCUUGCGGCAGCUUUAGAAGAGCUCUGGGAGCACAUUAGCCUGGGUGAAGCAUGAAAGAGCGAGGAAUAAAGGUUCUACUUAGUUGCUCUUUUAUUCACUCCCUCAUCCCACUUGGGAGGGGGGCAAUGAGCGAAUGACUGUGCAGCGCUGAGCUACCUGCCAGGUUAAACCACAACAGUAUCCCAUAGAAAGGACCUGCCUCGGAGCAAUCCUGAACAGUGGUACCCCACAGGAGAGACCCCGUGCUUGAGUAGGGGAAGUGCAUGAGGAGGAAGGAGCAGCAGAGAGGAGCUGUAAUGGACUGAGCACAGACACCAUUCCCAUUCCUCAUGUACCACUCAGGGGGAGGAGCUGGCAGUGAAGCUGAGCCUGGAACCUGAGGUAAUUGCCUUCUAACUCUCUUCUAAUAAAGAAAUCAUAGCAGAAGACAAGAACAUUUCAUGCAUAUUAAGAAAAUAAAAAUGCAAAUCUAUCAUACUCAGUUCUACUGAAAGAGAGAGAGGAUCUUCUCAGACAUGCAACAGCUUCAAAAGCCUUAGAUCCCAGCUGCAGUGGAGAUGGAGACAGCAUCUGUACUUAGUAAAAUGGUAAAUGUAGCACCUGGGAAAUGUGAAGAAUGGACACUGAUGACUUCUGGAAAGAAGGUUCCUGUUCCACCUAAAGGCCCAUAGCUAUCGAACACGGUGAGGAGGAGCCAGGUUUGUUCUUAAGCCACGCAUCACAGUCAGCAGACCAUUAGGACUGCAGCGAGAAGAAGCAAGUGACAGCAGUGGGCAGCUCCCAACUUCCAGGAAUUGACACCCAUCUGCCAACCUGACCUACUGUCUGCAGAAGUCUGCUCCUUGCUGGGCCCUAAACCUGGAUUGUUGUAGAGAUACUGCUGAGGCUUGUCCAACCCUCUAAAUACAAUCAUAGAAUGACUUGGGUUGGAAGUGAUACUGCCAAGGAUAAUGUGGACAGUAUUGAAAGUGGCCACCAAGCCCUGAAGGAGGUAGUAAAGGGCAGGGGGUCUUUUACCACCUGUUAAGGUCUGCUUGCAGAGCUAAUGUCAGCAACAGUGGUGGAUUAAGAAUUGGUUGGCUGGUUGAAGCCAAAGGGUUGUGAUCAAUGGGUCUGUGUCAGGGUGGAGGCUGGUCACAAGCAGUGUCCCUCGGGGGUCGGUCUUGGGACCGGUGCUCUUCAACAUCUUCAUCAGUGACACAGACAGUGGCAUCGAGUGCACACUCAGCAAGUUUGCAGUUGACACCAAGCUGAGUGGUGCAGUCGAUACGUUGGAAGGAAGGGAAGCCAUCCAGAUGGACCUGGAGAAGUGAGCCCAUGAAAACCUAAUGAGGUUCAAGAAGGCCAAGUGCAGGGUGCUGCGUUUGGGUUGGGGCAAUCCCAGGUAUUUAUGCAGACUGGGGAAAGAUCUCCUUGAGAGCAGCCCUGUGGAGAAGGACUUGGGUGUCCUGGUGGAUGAUAAGCUGGACAUGAGCCAGCAGUGUGCACGUGCAGCCCAGAAGACCAACUGUGUUCUGGGCUGCAUUAAAAAAGGGGUGGCCAGCAGGGAGAGGGAGGUGAUUGUGCCCCUCUACUCAGCUCUUGUGAGGCCCCAUCUGCAGUAAUGCAUCCAGGCCUGGAGCCCCCAGUACAGGAAGGACGUGGAGCUCUUGGAGUGGGUCCAGAGGAGGGCCACUAAGAUGAUUGCUUUCAGAGAGCAAUUUUUCAGAGAUUGCUUUUACUCUCAGUCUUUCACUGAUGCUGCAACUAAAGUCAAGGUAAACAGGUUAUUAUGUUAUGUUUCUUCCAGAUAUGGUAUUGGAACAACGCAGAGGCUACGCUAGUUGCUUCUGACCAGUUUUCAGAUGACCCAAUAAAUGUAUUAGUCUCAAGGCAGUGAUUAGAAAGGAGUAAGCUUACCCUGUUCUGAAGAUAAGGGGUUGCUGGAAAACUCCCAGAAGGAAGCAAUCUCCAGAACUAAAGAACUAAAGAAGUUUCCCUCUUGGCAGACAGCCCUUAAAUCAGGUUAGGGAGAGGUGGACCCAGGGUAGGGUGGGUGAACUGCCUGAACCUGUGCACCCAGGGCUGGCCAUGCCUCUUUAACAGGUGCACCGCUGCUGAUUUGGGCCAUGAUCUAACAAUUCCCAUACAAUACCCAGUAGAUAUUUUCUCAAAUAUGUCUUCAGUUCUCACAUGGAAUAAAACAUGGUAAAAGGUUCCAAAUAGUCAAGAAUAAAAAAAAUAAAAAUAAAAAAAAGGAGGGAGCUGUCAUGUAACGAGAGCUGUAGAGUGAUGUUAACCACACUCAUCUAAUGUAGGCGGAUGGGGACAUUAAGACAACACGGUUGGAGUUAAUGGAAAGUUCCAAAGUUCCAGCUGUGAUAAAAUGUAUGCAUAUGAAGAGACGGGUUUUUUUUUACCUAGUAUGUCUUUGUUGAGUAUUAUACAAUUUCUCUGUAAAUAUUCUUCCGUUUAAGUUCACCUCUAAUUCCACUGCUGC